AUUGAACGCUGGCGGCAUGCCUUACACAUGCAAGUCGAACGGUAACGCGGGGCAACCUGGCGACGAGUGGCGAACGGGUGAGUAACGCAUCGGAACGUGCCCAAUAGUGGGGGAUAGCCCGGCGAAAGCCGGAUUAAUACCGCAUACGACCUACGGGUGAAAGCAGGGGAUCGCAAGACCUUGCGUUAAUGGAGCGGCCGAUGUCAGAUUAGGUUGUUGGUGGGGUAAAAGCCCACCAAGCCGACGAUCUGUAGCUGGUCUGAGAGGAUGAUCCGCAAGACUGGGAUUGAGACACGGCCCAGACUCCUACGGGAGGCAGCAGUGGGGAAUAUUGGACAAUGGGCGGAAGCCUGAUCCAGCCAUGCCGCGUGUGUGAAGAAGGCCUUAUGGUUGUAAAGCUCUUUUGUCCGGGAGCAAAUCCUGUUCACUAAUACUGAGCGGGGCUGAGAGUACCGGAAGAAUAAGCACCGGCUAACUACGUGCCAGCAGCCGCCGUAA
rnacentral:rRNA from 1 species